rnacentral:rRNA from 1 species
GACGAACGCUGGCGGCGCGCCUAACACAUGCAAGUCGAACGGAGCUGAGAGAAGCUUGCUUUUCUUAGCUUAGUGGCGAACGGGUGAGUAACGCGUGAGUAACCUGCCCUGGAGUGGGGGACAACAGAUGGAAACGACUGCUAAUACCGCAUAAGCCCACGAUCCGGCAUCGGAUUGAGGGAAAAGGAUUUAUUCGCUUCAGGAUGGACUCGCGUCCAAUUAGCUAGUUGGUGAGGUAACGGCCCACCAAGGCGACGAGUGGUAGCCGGACUGAGAGGUUGAACGGCCACAUUGGGACUGAGACACGGCCCCGACUCCUACGGGAGGCAGCAGUGGGGGAUAUUGCACAAUGGGGGAAACCCUGAUGCAGCGACGCCGCGUGGAGGAAGAAGGUUUUCGGAUUGUAAACUCCUGUCGUUAGGGACGAUAAUGACGGUACCUAACAAGAAAGCACCGGCUAACUACGUG